rnacentral:rRNA from 1 species
CAGUCGCCGCGGGAAUACGAAGGGUGCAAGCGUUAAUCGGAAUUACUGGGCGUAAAGCGUGCGUAGGCGGUUUGUUAAGUCUGCUGUGAAAUCCCCGGGCUCAACCUGGGAAUGGCAGUGGAUACUGGCAAGCUAGAGUGUGUCAGAGGAUGGUGGAAUUCCCGGUGUAGCGGUGAAAUGCGUAGAGAUCGGGAGGAACAUCAGUGGCGAAGGCGGCCAUCUGGGGCAACACUGACGCUGAGGCACGAAAGCGUGGGGAGCAAACAGGAUUAGAUACCCCCGUAGUCCCUGUCUCUUAUAC